UUGUGAUGUAUAUUCGAAAUCUUGUGAUGUAUGUUUGAUAAUCUUGUGAUGUAUAUUCGAAAUCUUGUGAUGUAUGUUCGAUAAUCUUGUGAUGUAUAUUCGAAAUCUUGUGAUGUGUGUUCUACAAUUCAGUGAUGCGUGCAAUAAAAUUGCAUGACGCAACAGAAAAGUAAGGACAAUUUUCAUUGGUUAGAAAUAACGAAAGUAGCCGGAGCGGUCGUAAUGCACACAUUGACACAACUUCGCAAGCAUGAAAUUGACGAAUUCAACCUAAAGUCAAAAUUAUAGGAACUUUACGUAGGUCUACAGUUUUAAUUUUGGACUCAUGCACUAGGAAUAUCAUAUCAGCAGAAUUGUGCCACUGAAUCAAAGGGAACUCUUUUUUUUUAGGUACGCAUGAUCGAUGUAACUUCCUCGAUGGUGUGUUGGCUGUUUGCCCAUGUGUAUUUCGGGGUAUAGGAGUAGCCUCCCCUUUUAAAGAUCAAAAAUGGUGAUUUUACAGUGCGGCAUGCAGUCUGGUCUUCAACGAAGAGUUUUGACACCUGUAAUACCCAUAUUUCUACCAUUCACCUCUGUAACCUUUGUUGAGUUCAUCAGACUGUCACUAGGCAACACUAAAGAUUUCCACUUAUUGCUUUUCUGUCCAAGACAGGAAGUUGAGGAACAAAGUUGACAGGACAUCCUGAACUGUCUUCGCUACCAGCUUAUGAGGGAACCAGCUGCAGUGGACAAAGUAUGUUACAUCAUAGGAUAAUAGCAUUGAAUUGGAUUCUUGAACCAGAGCCAUGUGAACCUGGUCCACCUGUACCUCUCAUUGAAGACCUGUUAACAUCACCAGAGUAUGUUCAUUCUGAUACCCCUAUGGUAUGGUUACAGCAUGCAUUAUCCCUGAAUCCAUUAAAAGAGCUGCAUUGGCAAUGAAACAACCCAAUGUGGUCGAUUGUAAGGAAACAUAGCAUAUCAGCUUCCAACUUUGGUGCAGUUCUCAGUUCUAAGCAAAGGCGAUUGACAUUGUCACUGAAGAAACAGCUGAUGUCGGCUUACAAUCUGGAGUCCAUCAAGGCUGUUGCAUGGGGUAUCACUCAUGAAGAUGAUGCUUUGAGAAAGUAUGAAAAGGACUUUGAUGCAGCUGUAGAGCAGUCAGGAUAUGGUUGCAUGAAUCCGGAGUGUUGGGAGCUUCACCUGAUGGCUUAGUUGUUCGACCACCAACAUGCAGUGUAUUUUAUCAAACUCCAGAAGCCAAAGACGCCAUUCCUGAUAUUGUAGAGGUGAAGUGUCCAUAUACAGCAUCGUCUUCAACAGUAGCAGAUGGGGCACAAAAUUUGAAGGAUUUUUCAUAGAUCUUAAACAAGAUACCCUGUGCCUGAAAACCAGUCACCCG